rnacentral:rRNA from 1 species
GGGAUAGCCUUUCGAAAGAAAGAUUAAUAUCCGAUAGCAUAUAUUUCCCGCAUGGGUUUUAUAUUAAAGAAAUUCGGUAUGAGAUGGGGAUGCGUUCCAUUAGUUUGUUGGGGGGGUAACGGCCCACCAAGACUACGAUGGAUAGGGGUUCUGAGAGGAAGGUCCCCCACAUUGGAACUGAGACACGGUCCAAACUCCUACGGGAGGCAGCAGUGAGGAAUAUUGGUCAAUGGACGCGAGUCUGAACCAGCCAAGUAGCGUGAAGGAUGACUGCCCUAUGGGUUGUAAACUUCUUUUAUAUGGGAAUAAAGUUGUCCACGUGUGGAUUUUUGUAUGUACCAUAUGAAUAAGGAUCGGCUAACUCCGUGCCAGCAGCCGCGGUAAUACGGAGGAUCCGAGCGUUAUCCGGAUUUAUUGGGUUUAAAGGGAGCGUAGGCGGAUUGUUAAGUCAGUUGUGAAAGUUUGCGGCUCAACCGUAAAAUUGCAGUUGAUACUGGCAGUCUUGAGUGCAGUAGAGGUGGGCGGAAUUCGUGGUGUAGCGGUGAAAUGCUUAGAUAUCACGAAGAACUCCGAUUGCGAAGGCAGCUCACUGGAGUGUAACUGACGCUGAUGCUCGAAAGUGUGGGUAUCAAACAGGAUUAGAUACCCUGGUAGUCCACACAGUAAACGAAGAGUACUCGCUGUUUGCGAUAUACAGUAAGCGGCCAAG